AGACGGGGCGCAACCCUGAGCAGCCUGCCGCGUGAGUGAGGAAGGCCUUCGGGUUGUAAAGCUCUUUCGGCGAGGACGAAAGGGGACGUGCUAAUACCGCGGUCUGAUGACGGUACCUGAAGAAGAAGCACCGGCUAACUCCGUGCCAGCAGCCGCGGUAAUACGUAGGGUGCAAGCGUUAAUCGGAAUUACUGGGCGUAAAGCGUGCGCAGGCGGUUUCUUAAGUCAGAUGUGAAAUCCCCGGGCUUAACCUGGGAACUGCGUUUGAAACUGGGUGACUUGAGUGUGGCAGAGGGGGGUGGAAUUCCACGUGUAGCAGUGAAAUGCGUAGAUAUGUGGAGGAACACCGAUGGCGAAGGCAGCCCCCUGGGCUAACACUGACGCUCAUGCACGAAA
rnacentral:rRNA from 1 species